UAGGGAAUCUUCCACAAUGGACGCAAGUCUGAUGGAGCAACGCCGCGUGAGUGAAGAAGGUUUUCGGACCGUAAAGCUCUGUUGUUGGUGAAGAAGGAUAGAGGUAGUAACUGGCCUUUAUUUGACGGUAAUCAACCAGAAAGUCACGGCUAACUACGUGCCAGCAGCCGCGGUAAUACGUAGGUGGCAAGCGUUGUCCGGAUUUAUUGGGCGUAAAGCGAGCGCAGGCGGAAGAAUAAGUCUGAUGUGAAAGCCCUCGGCUUAACCGAGGAAUUGCAUCGGAAACUGUUUUCUUGAGUGCAGAAGAGGGGAGUAGAACUCCAUGUGUAGCGGUGGAAUGCGUAGAUAUAUGGAAGAAUACCAGUGGCGAAGGCGGCUCUCUGGUCUGCAACUGACGCUGAGGCUCGAAAGCAUGGGUAGCGAACAGGAUUAGAUACCCUGGUAGUCCAUGCCGUAAACGAUGAGUGCUAAGUGUUGGGAGGCUUCCGCCUCUCAGUGCUGCAGCUAACGCAUUAAGCACUCCGCCUGGGGGAGUACGACCGCAAGGUUGAAAC
rnacentral:rRNA from 1 species